rnacentral:rRNA from 1 species
UCAAGCUACUAAGGGCAUACGGUGAAUGCCUUGGCACUAAGAGCCGAUGAAGGACGUGGUAAGCUGCGAAAAGCUACGGGGAGCCGCAAGCAGGCUUUGAUCCGUAGAUGUCCGAAUGGGGAAACCCACCAUCCGUCAUGGGAUGGUAUCCUUCGGGAGGGGAACCCGGUGAACUGAAACAUCUAAGUAGCCGGAGGAAGAGAAAUCAAACGAGAUGCCCACAGUAGCGGCGAGCGAAGAGGGCAGAGCCUAAACCAGAGAGCUUCGGCUCCCUGGGGUUACGGACUGGCAUAAACCGAGUCAGGCCUAGCCGAAUCACCUGGAAAGGUGAGCCACAGACCGUGAGAGCCGGGUAGGCGAAAGGCAGAGCAAGGGGGCCAGUAUCCAGAGUACCGCGAAGCACGAGGAAUUUUGCGGGAAGUCGGGGGGACCACCCUCCAAGGCUAAACACUUCUUAGUGACCGAUAGCGCAUAGUACCGUGAGGGAAAGGUGAAAAGAACCGCGGGAGCGGAGUGAAAGAGAACCUGAAACCGUAUGUCUACAAGCAGUCGGAGCGCAAGCGACGGCGUGCCUAUUGAAGAAUGAGCCAACGAGUUACGGGCACCAGCGAGGUUAAGCAGGAAAUGCGGAGCCGUAGGGAAACCGAGUCUGAAAAGGGCGAAUAGUUGGUGUUCGUAGACCCGAAACUGUAGUGAUCUACCCAUGAUCAGGUUGAAGCACGGGUAAAAUCGUGUGGAGGACCGAACCGGUGAGUGUUGAAAAACUUUCGGAUGAAUCGUGGGUAGCGGUGAAAUUCCAAUCGAACGCAGAGAUAGCUGGUUCUCCUCGAAAUAGCUUUAGGGCUAGCCUCAGGCAGUAAGCAUAGGCGGUAGAGCACUGAUCGGGAUAGGGACUGUAAUGGUUACCGAACCCUGUCAAACUACGAAUGGCUAUGCUGCAGAGCCUGGGAGUCAGACUACGAGAGAUAAGUCCCGUUGUCAAAAGGGAAACAGCCCAGACCAUCAGCUAAGGUCCCCAAUGCCAUACUAAGUGGAAAAGGAUGUGGGGUCUCAUAAACAACCAGGAUGUUGGCUCAGAAGCAGCCACCAUUUAAAGAGUGCGUAAUAGCUCACUGGUCGAGAGGCCCUGCGCCGAAGAUUCCCGGGGCUAAAGUAUGGAACCGAAGCUAUGGAUGCAUACUUAGGUAUGCGUGGUAGAGGAGCGUUCCCAUCGGGUUGAAGUCGUCCUGUAAGGGACGGUGGACUGGUGGGAAGUGAGAAUGUUGGCAUGAGUAGCGAAAAGAAUGGUGAGAAUCCAUUCCACCGAAAGCAUAAGGAUUCCUGAGCAACGAUCGUCGUCUCAGGGUAAGUCGGGACCUAAUCCGAGGCAAAGAGCGUAGGAGAUGGACAACUGGUUGAUAUUCCAGUACCGGCAGUGAUCGUUUGAACGAAGGAGUGACGCAGGAAGGCAGGUCCGCACGAGAUUGGUAGAUCGUGUGCAAGCGUGCAGGCUGGUUACCAGGCAAAUCCGGUAACUGAGGCUGAGGCGUGAUGCGGAGGGAACUUGUUCCCGAAGGGAUUGAGCCUACGCUGCCGAGAAAAGCUUCUAGUGAGAAAGCUGCCGCCCGUACCGUAAACCGACACAGGUAUGCGGGGAGAGAAUCCUAAGGUGCGCGGGAGAACCCUCGUUAAGGAACUCGGCAAAAUGUACCCGUAACUUCGGGAUAAGGGUAGCCACAAAGGUGAAGGGACUUGCUCCCGGAGCCCGGUGUGGUCGCAGAGAAGAGGCCCAAGCGACUGUUAACCAGAAACACAGGUGCCUGCGAAAGAGAAAUCUGAAGUAUAGGUGCUGACACCUGCCCAGUGCUGGAAGGUUAAAGAAGGAUGUCCGGGUUCGACCCAAAGCAUUCGACUGAAGCCCCAGUGAACGGCGGCCGUAACUAUAACGGUCCUAAGGUAGCGAAAUUCCUUGUCGGGUAAGUUCCGAC